rnacentral:lncRNA from 1 species
UCCUGUGCUCACCUAACAGCCGGGGUCUGCAGGGGCCGAUCAGCUCCCGGAAGAAGAGAGCUGGGCAUAGCGAGCACUUGAAGUGUCCACCACAAUGGCCCCAGACAUUUUGUUGAUGCAUACAGAAAGGAGGCGCCGGCCUGGAUGGGAAGACUGAAUCUGUCGGCCCAGAAGAGUGUGAAGAAUCACAGCCCUCCUUCAGGACUCUUGUUUCCAGAUCUCGGGGUGGCGGAUGAGGGCUCUCCAUGUCCUUCCUCAGCAAGUGGACAGUAAAGGUACCAAGGAGUCCUGGGACCUUCGAGGGGUGGCGUGAUGAAAGCAGAAGCGCGUUGGGGCUGUGGCCUCUCGUCUGCAGGGACUGCCGUGGGAUCCGGCGGCCAUGACAUGAGAAGAUACCCUGGAAGCUUCAGCAGCCCACUCUGGCCCGGCGGCCACCGUAUGCGGGCGGCUCCCACCCUCUUCUCCGUCCUCUGAACUUGUAGCUACACAGCAGCGUCUCCCCAGCGUCUCCCAAGCGUCUCCGCUCCCAAGUCUUACGGCUCAAGUUCGGCACAAGCAGACCUGCUGAACCUGCCUCAGCCUUGGUAAAUGGGACCCCAGGCACCAUGACUCCAGCUGGAGACGGAGCCACUGCGGUGCCCCCUGCCCCGGGCACCCCAUGCCCUUUCAUCAGUUCUCUUGGUCCCGUCUUUAAGUAUUUUUCAGACUUGUCCACUUCUUUACUACGGGCUGUAGGCUAGUCUGACUGCCCCAACCCUCUGCUGAACUUAGCUGCCGCUUACUGCCCUUGGUUCCAAUGUACAGCCCUCCCGAGCCUGCCGCCCACAGCCUGCCUCACCUUCGCAGAAACGCUCGGGAUGGUGUAACUGCCCGUGCAGAGCCCUGGCUGGCGUCCAUCCUGCACCAGGACCCCGAUGUGCACUCCCUGCGGCAGCCGGGUCCAGGGUCCUCCUCAAAGCCCUCCCUCCUGCUGUGCUUAGCAGGGAGGGGCCGGCCCUGGGACCCUUCUGGUCCUGUACUGGUCCCAAUUCCUCUGCUCCUGCAGCCCAGCUGCUGAACAGCUCCCAGGAGUCGAGACUGUGGGUCCCUCCCAGCAGCUGGUGGAGAACAGCUCAGCCCAGACUCAGCCGUUUUCAAACAGAUUCCCAUUUUCAGACCAGGACAGUAAGGCCACAGGAGGCCCACCUUGGUUUUCAGAAAGGUUGCUCAUCAACUAUGCUGUUGCUUUCUCUUACAACUUGGGAUUCUAUCAGUUUCCAAACUGUGCAUACAAAUAAAUUCAUAAUAGUAGCAAUAAUCAAAAUUUUAC